UGAUGGAUCCUAAUGAGGCCUUUGUUCUUCCUGAGCCUUUCUUGUAAAGCUCUUUCCUCCCUCUGUGGAGAGGCACAGAGUUCUUCAAACUGGGCGGAGAUGUCUUAAAUUAGAAAUGGAGCCUAUGAAGAAACCAAGAGGUUUUGAAGCUAGCUUCACCAUGGCAGCUUCAUGCCACCUCUGCUCUCUACCGGCCCCUCCUCAGGGUUUUACUCCUCUCCCCUUGAAUGCAUGAGCUCUACGAGGCUGCUGCAGACGCAUCUGCUCCCACGCUGGCCACAAACGUCCAUCUUUCUCAGGCAGCAACAGAGGAAAUAAAUAGCCUUUCCGGGCCUUCCUCUUGCAAAUAAUGGAUAUGCUGCCAUAGAUCUUCCUGCUUCUGCUUUUCCUGUCUCUAAAGGAAGUGCAUCCAGUGGUCCCUGGCCACUGGGUCUUUGUUGGAAAAGCUGUUUUCCAAGAUCAUUUGGCUUUAAAAAAAAGCGAUGAGCCCACAGGGACUUAGAGAUUGUGUGUGUUGAGAUUCACUCUAUAGGAGACAGCCUCUUUCUUUGGCGGGGCAGAGGUAGGGGGAGGAAGUAAGAAAAGGGCAAAGUGAAUAAAAAUCUCACCUAAAUCCUGCUGACGCCUGCUGUUCCUUCAAAUGCUACCUCCCACCCUGCAGGGCUUUACAAAGCACUUGUUCAUCUAUUGCCUUGUAGGUGGAAAGAGAAUUGCCCUCUUUCAACAAAUGAGAAAAUGAGGCUCAGAGAAGUUAAGUGACUUGCCCAAAAUCACUCAGCUGGGGGUGACAGACUAAGGAUUUAAGUCUAGGUCUCUUAAUCUUAUGUUUUUUCCAAUACCCCAAAGCACCUCCCAUGGGCUGCCAGCAGCCUGAACAUUUAGCCCAUUUGUGGAGGCUGGCAUUUGGAUCCCACUGCAGCGUGUUACCCACUUAAGCUUUAUUUCUGAAUCUGUAUAUUUAAGCAACAAUUUUGUUUCAGAGGACUCCAGAGAGUGGCCUUAUUUAACCUUCCUCUGGAGGUGUGUCUAUCUGGUGGAGAACCAUGAAGGGGCUGGGAGAGGAGGGGAAAGGAGGAGCCAGCAGGGAAUUUUCCCAGUUUUCCACUGGGUGAAGCUGAGGUCCAGGGAGUCAGACAAACCCAGGAUCCUCCUGGCAUUCUGAACACUUGCCAAAAUCUCUGCUCUUUGCUCUCAUGACUCGUCUGGGCUGGUUCCAAGUGUGGAGGAGUGCAGUCAGCAGAAGUGUUUGUGCUGGGGGUAGGGGGCGGCAGGACUGAUGCUAUGAGGAAGGAGGGUGUUUACACCAAGAGUCCAGCCAAGCCUGGGGUCACAGGGACUGGUGCAGAGCAGAAAGUGUCCUCUGAGCUGGAGGGGUGUUGAUCUCCUCCAGAAAUUCUUGGAUACAAUAGCUUCUUCUGCACUAGCUGGCUAUCCCCUCAUGGUGCAGAUGGAACACUCUGGUGAAAAGUUUUGGAGCUAAAUAACUGGGUUCAAAUAUCAUCUCUGCUGAUUAGCUGACAGAUCCUGGUUAAUAGUUCUGCCAGCCUUACCAGAUGUCAUGGACUUGCUUGUGUCACAGAUGCCCUAAGGGGAAGGGGCUGUGAAGGGCUGAUCCAGAAUAAAUACGGUCCUUGAUAGCUGACUCUCAAUCGACUGAGAAGCCACACCAAAGUCUAUCAAAACCUUCAGUUCCAGAUAGAAUCAGAGGGGGCUAAUAUUUGAGGAGUGCAAGAUUUGGAGGCUUGCAGACUGAGACUGGAAACUAGAAAGUGACCAAACAGAAUGCCCGAUGGGACCUUUGGCAUCUGCUUGUCAAGGGAGAGGGGGAGGGAAUGGGGAUGGCCAGAAAGGCCAAGGGAAGACUCCUUGUAAAUGUCUCCUACAGAUUUUGAUAAUGCAUUUAUAAACCAAGCCAAAUACUAUGGAAA